UGGGGAAUAUUGCGCAAUGGGGGGAACCCUGACGCAGCCAUGCCGCGUGAAUGAAGAAGGCCUUAGGGUUGUAAAGUUCUUUCGGUAUUGAGGAAGGUUGAUGUGUUAAUAGCACAUCAAAUUGACGUUAAAUACAGAAGAAGCACCGGCUAACUCCGUGCCAGCAGCCGCGGUAAUACGGAGGGUGCGAGCGUUAAUCGGAAUAACUGGGCGUAAAGGGCACGCAGGCGGUUAUUUAAGUGAGGUGUGAAAGCCCCGGGCUUAACCUGGGAAUUGCAUUUCAGACUGGGUAACUAGAGUACUUUAGGGAGGGGUAGAAUUCCACGUGUAGCGGUGGAAUGCGCAGAGAUGUGGAGGAAUACCGAAGGCGAAGGCAGCCCCUUGGGAAUGUACUGACGCUCAUGUGCGAAAGCGUGGGGAGCAAACAGGAUUAGAUACCCUGGUAGUCCACGCUGUAAACGCUGUCGAUUUGGGGGUUGGGGUUUAACUCUGGCGCCCGUAGCUAACGUGAUAAAUCGACCGCCUGGGGAGUACGGCCGCAAGGUUA
rnacentral:rRNA from 1 species